CGUACCCAUCCCGAACACGGACGUGAAGACCUCCAGCGCCGAGAAUACUGGGAGGGCAGCCUCCUGGGAAGGUAGGUCGUUGCCAGGC
rnacentral:rRNA from 1 species